rnacentral:rRNA from 1 species
CACAAUGGGGCGCAAGCCUGAUGCAGCCAUGCCGCGUGUAUGAAGAAGGCCUUCGGGUUGUAAAGGUACUUUCAGCAGUGAGGAAGGUUCGAGUGCGUUAAUAGCGUAUGGAUUUGACGUUAGCUGCAGAAGAAGCACCGGCUAACUCCGUGCCAGCAGCCGCGGUAAUACGGGAGGGUGCGAGCGUUAAUCGGAAUUACUGGGCGUAAAAGCGCAUGCAGGUGGUUUGUUAAGUCAGAUGUGAAAGCCCGGGGCUCAACCUCGGAAUUGCAUUUGAAAACUGGCAGGCUAGAGUCUUGUAGAGGGGGUAGAAUUUCAGGUGUAGCGGUGAAAUGCGUAGAGAUCUGAAGGAAUACCAGUGGCGAAGGCCGGCCCCCUGGACAAAGACUGACGCUCAGAUGCGAAAAGCGUGGGGAGCAAACAGGAUUAGAUACCCUGGUAG